rnacentral:rRNA from 1 species
UGCAAGUCGAACGGAUUGAAGGGGCUUGCUCCUUCAGUUAGUGGCGCACGGGUGAGUAACGCGUAGAUAAUCUGCCUGAUGAUCCGGGAUAACAGUUCGAAAGGACUGCUAAUACCGGAUAAGCCCACGUGGUCUUUGGACCGUGCGGGAAAAGGGGGGGACCUUCGGGCCUUCUGUCAUCAGAUGAGUCUGCGUACCAUUAGCUAGUUGGUAGGGUAAAGGCCUACCAAGGCUACGAUGGUUAGCUGGUUUGAGAGAAUGAUCAGCCACACUGGAACUGAGACACGGUCCAGACUCCUACGGGAGGCAGCAGUGGGGAAUUUUGCGCAAUGGGCGAAAGCCUGACGCAGCAACGCCGCGUGAGUGAUGAAGGCUUUCGGGUCGUAAAGCUCUGUCGAGGGGAAAGAAGUGUACGGGGGCUAAUAUCCUCUGUACUUGACGGUACCCCUAAAGGAAGCACCGGCUAACUCCGUGCCAGCAGCCGCGGUAAUACGGGGGGUGCAAGCGUUGUUCGGAAUUAUUGGGCGUAAAGAGCGUGUAGGCGGUUUGUUAAGUCUGAUGUGAAAGCCCUGGGCUCAACC